GCGGGAUUAGUACACCGGUAGUAUGCCACCUUCCCAAGGUGGAGAAGCCAGUCCGAUUCUGGUAUCCCGCUCCA
rnacentral:tRNA from 3 species